rnacentral:lncRNA from 1 species
AAAAGUUUUAUUGAAAUAAACGUAUUUUUUAUCGAAAAUAAAAUAAAAUAAAAACAAUUUAUUAAAAAAUUUUAUUUUAUUUUAUUAAUUUAUUUAUAUAAUCGGUCUAAUCAAAUAUUUUUCUAAAACUUGAAAAGUAUCCAUUUUAAGAUGCCGCGGAAAAAGUAUAAAGUUGAAAGGCAAGUUAUGCAUUCGCAAAUUUCAUUUCUGAAGUCACAAGUCAAAACCGGGACUUCUAGUUUUGAAUCUUCAAUCUUACGUAUAAAGUUGACUUGGAACGGAGUCGAGUCUAUCACUAUGGCUCCUUAUGCAAGUACCGCCAGGCUCUGGGUGGUAAGUUUCUGCAUGUUUGGUACGCCAAACAUUAAUUUCUGAGCAUCGAAUUUAUUAAACCCCAACACAAAAAUUAAAUCCCAACACAUUAAUUAAACUCUCAAAAACUCUUUCCUUUGGACCCAACUCCCAAACCAACAACAACAUCAACAUAUGCAAAAAAACCCUAUAUAUAUAUAUAUAUAUAUAUAUAAAACCUACCUUUUCAUUUUUCUUAUCAUUUCCCUUCCCGUCUUCUUUUUCCUUUCUUGUUAAAAUUUUCCACAUAAGCAUCCCUAUAUCCAGUUCUUCUGGUACUGUAGGCCUGUGUGUAUAUAUGUAAAGCUAUAUCUUUUACAAAUCCA